rnacentral:rRNA from 1 species
UACGAAGGACCCGAGCGUUAUCCGGAUUUAUUGGGUUUAAAGGGUGCGUAGGCGGAUUAGUAAGUCAGUGGUGAAAGCCCAUCGCUUAACGGUGGAACUGCCAUUGAUACUGCUAGUCUUGAGUAUGGUUGAGGUGGGCGGAAUGUGUCAUGUAGCGGUGAAAUGCUUAGAUAUGACACAGAACACCAAAUUGCGAAGGCAGCUCGCUAAACCAUAACUGACGCUGAUGCACGAAAGCGUGGGGAGCAAACAGG